GUCAAUGCCAACCGCCUGUACAAAAGAGUUUCUACAGGCGGUUGGCAUUGACCACCGCCUGUAGAAAUACUUUCUACAGGCGGUGGUCAAUGCCAACCGCCUAUAGAAAUACCGCCCGUAUAUAUCCCGCGCCCAGACCCUCCAAAAUUUUUUAAGUCCGAAGGCACCACUCAGUUCAAAUAGACGCCGUCAGGCUGCCGAAAUUCCGCCACCAUCACCGCCGGUCUCGCCGCCGCUCCGCCACUGGUCUCCGCCGUCGUUCUGCCUCCGCGUCCGACCCUAAGCCCACCAGGUAUGCAGCGCCCUCUCUUCCCAUCCGCUCGCCGCCGUAAACCCUAGCCGCCACCAACUCCGGCGAGCCGUGCCGCCACCCGCCGUGGCAAGCGCCACAGAGGCCUUCCCUGGUCGCGCUUUGGAGCUAAGCGUGUUCGCCUCCAUCCCUGCUUUCUUCCCGUGCGCUCAGCUUCGAAAACCGUGGCCUCUAGCGCUCGAUUCGAGAGCUCCGGCGACCUUCACGCCGUAGGGCAUGGCUGCGCCGCCGUUGAUGAUUUAUUUUAUUACGAAAAUACUUUGAAUUAUUUGCAAGUUUGCCACUACACUAUUUUGGUAUAUUGAGAAGCUGCAAGGGCUAGUAAAAAAUUUCUUUAUGCAAUAAUUGACACU
rnacentral:lncRNA from 1 species